UUCGACCCCUUUAUCCUUUGCCGCAUGGGUUUGUUCUCGGUAUCUAUUCAUCAAUCUCUGGCUCUUCCUUGAGAAGCCACCGCGGGUGGAGCUGAAUAUGGCGGUGCCAUGGAGCAUGAGUCUCUGGAUGGCGAAGAUGGUGUGGAUUGCUUUGAGUGGGUGGGUAUCUUCGUGCUUGACUGUUGCUGACGAGGUUGCUAGUUCUCUUCGAUCCGGUGAUCUUGGCCCCUUCAAUGUUGGAUGAUUCAAAAACCUAAUUCACCUUUGCUUCGGCCCUGUGAAAGAUUGGAAGAAGGUGAUGUGAUUACAGAAUAGUUGAGCGGUGAUUUAUUCUUUGGAUUGUACGGGGAGAAGAGGAUAAGAUUCAUGUUCAAGAAUGUUUGCCUCUC